AGUGAGUUCAGUGGCUUCAGAAGCAAUAUUUAGUGCAGGGACAAGAGUUAUUGAUUCUUAUCGUUCAUCUCUCUCUCCAGACACAGUGCAGACUCUACUGUGUGGGGGUGAUUGGCUUCGACAUAUACAUGGACUGAAAAAGAAGACUAAAAAAGCUAAAACUUAUCAAGAAAUUUUUCUUCCAGUAUCUACCUCUUAAAAAAUUUGAUAUGGAAUUUUGGAAACACAUGUUAAACAAAGAAGAAGAUAUGGAAAUUGCUGCAGAAUUUUGAUAUGGAAACACAUAUGUUAAACACAUGUUAAAGUUGCAGUAUAGGUGGUAUGAUUGAGAAUUUGAUAUGGAGAAGAAGAUAUUGAUUGCUGCAGAAAUUUAAUGUUUUGAGUAGUUUGGGUGGUUUGAAUUUGGAAUAUUAUGUUUUUGGAUUUGGUUAAUUUUGUUGGGAAUUUGAGAUGAAGUUUGGUAUUUUGGCAACAAGAAUAGUGUUUUAUCAUAUAAUUGUGUUUUUGAUUUAUGUUUUUUUUAUUAUAUAUUUGUGUUGUGACUUGUGAA